ACUCCUACGGGAGGCAGCAGUGGGAAUAUUGGACAAUGGGGGCAACCCUGAUCCAGCGAUGCCGCGUGUGUGAAGAAGGCCUGAGGGUUGUAAAGCACUUUAGUUAGGGAGGAAAGAUUUGAUAUCGAAAAGGUAUGAAAGAAGACGUUACCUAAAGAAUAAGCACCGGCAAACUCUGUGCCAGCAGCCGCGGUAAUACAGAGGGUGCAAGCGUUAAUCGGAAUGACUGGGCGUAAAGGGCACGUAGGCGGUUAUGUAAGUUAUAGGUGAAAUCCCC
rnacentral:rRNA from 1 species